AGUGAACGCUGGCGGUAGGCCUAACACAUGCAAGUCGAACGGCAGCACAGUAAGAGCUUGCUCUUACGGGUGGCGAGUGGCGGACGGGUGAGGAGUACAUCGGAAUCUACUUUUUCGUGGGGGAUAACGUAGGGAAACUUACGCUAAUACCGUAUACGACCUACGGGUGAAAGCAGGGGAUCUUCGGACCUUGCGCGAUUGAAUGAGCCGAUGUCGGAUUAGCUAGUUGGCGGGGUAAAGGCCCACCAAGGCGACGAUCCGUAGCUGGUCUGAGAGGAUGAUCAGCCACACUGGAACUGAGACACGGUCCAGACUCCUACGGGAGGCAGCAGUGGGGAAUAUUGGACAAUGGGCGCAAGCCUGAUCCAGCCAUACCGCGUGGGUGAAGAAGGCCUUCGGGUUGUAAAGCCCUUUUGUUGGGGAAGAAAAGCAGCAGGUUAAUACCCCGCUGUUCUGACGGUACCCAAAGAAUAAGCACCGGCUAACUUCGUG
rnacentral:rRNA from 1 species